rnacentral:rRNA from 2 species
AGCGAACGCUGGCGGCAGGCUUAACACAUGCAAGUCGAGCGCCGUAGCAAUACGGAGCGGCAGACGGGUGAGUAACACGUGGGAACGUGCCCUUCAGUUUGGAAUAUUCCCGGGAAACUGGGAGCAAUACCAAAUACGCCCUAAGGGGGAAAGAUUUAUCGGGAAGGGAUCGGCCCGCGUUGGAUUAGGUAGUUGGUGGGGUAAUGGCCUACCAAGCCGACGAUCCAUAGCUGGUUUUGAGAGGAUGAUCAGCCACACUGGGACUGAGACACGGCCCAGACUCCUACGGGAGGCAGCAGUGGGGAAUCUUAGACAAUGGGGGAAACCCUGAUCUAGCCAUGCCGCGUGAUCGAUGAAGGCCUUAGGGUUGUAAAGAUCUUUCAGUGGGGAAGAUAAUGACUGUACCCACAGAAGAAGCCCCGGCUAACUCCGUGCCAGCAGCCGCGGUAAU